rnacentral:rRNA from 1 species
CCUACGGGGUGCAGCAGUCGAGAAUCAUUCACAAUGGGGGAAACCCUGAUGGUGCGACGCCGCGUGGGGGAAUGAAGGUCUUCGGAUUGUAAACCCCUGUCAUGUGGGAGCAAAUUAAAAAGAUAGUACCACAAGAGGAAGAGACGGCUAACUCUGUGCCAGCAGCCGCGGUAAUACAGAGGUCUCAAGCGUUGUUCGGAAUCACUGGGCGUAAAGCGUGCGUAGGCUGUUUCGUAAGUCGUGUGUGAAAGGCGCGGGCUCAACCCGCGGACGGCACAUGAUACUGCGAGACUAGAGUGAUGGAGGGGGAACCGGAAUUCUCGGUGUAGCAGUGAAAUGCGUAGAUAUCGAGAGGAACACUCGUGGCGAAGGCAGGUUCCUGGACAUUAACUGACGCUGAGGCACGAAGGCGACGGGAGCGAAAGGGAUUAGAUACCCGUGUAGUC